rnacentral:rRNA from 1 species
GUAGGGNGCNAGCGUUAAUCGGAAUUACUGGGCGUAAAGCGUGCGCAGGCGGUUGUGCAAGACAGGUGUGAAAUCCCCGGGCUUAACCUGGGAACUGCACUUGUGACUGCACAGCUGGAGUACGGCAGAGGGGGAUGGAAUUCCGCGUGUAGCAGUGAAAUGCGUAGAUAUGCGGAGGAACACCGAUGGCGAAGGCAGUCCCCUGGGCCUGUACUGACGCUCAUGCACGAAAGCGUGGGGAGCAAACAGGAUUAGAUACCCUGGUAGUCCACGCCCUAAACGAUGUCAACUGGUUGUUGGGAAGGUUUCUUCUCAGUAACGUAGCUAACGCGUGAAGUUGACCGCCUGGGGAGUACGGCCGCAAGGUUG